rnacentral:rRNA from 1 species
UGCCAGCAGCCGCGGUAACACGAACCGGACAAACGUUAUUCGGAAUCACUGGGCUUAAAGAGUACGUAGGCGGCCUCGCAAGUUGGGUGUGAAAUCCCACGGCUCAACCGUGGAACUGCGCUCAAAACUGCGUAGCUAGAGGGAGACAGGGGUGAGCGGAACUGAUGGUGGAGCGGUGAAAUGCGUUGAUAUCAUCAGGAACACCGGUGGCGAAGGCGGCUCACUGGGUCUCUUCUGACGCUGAGGUACGAAAGCUAGGGUAGCGAACGGGAUUAGAUA